AUCUGAAGUGUGAAUAGGAUUGGUGAAAGAGUGAAAGAGUGUUGUGUGCUUUUGCUGAGUUUAGGAUGGUGUCAAUUGUGCCUCAGGAGAAGAGUUUAGACAUUCUGUCCUGAUGAAUGUAAUCAAGUCUUUAUUUCAUGGUUUCUCUUAACGCAAAUACGUACAGGUUCAUAUUCGUCGAUGAGGGUGAGAGGAAAACUAUCGCCAACAGAAAGAAUCCAGAUAGGAAGAGAGAAAAAGAAAGACCAGAGAUGGUUCAUGUGGGCUGCUCCUCAUAACCCUGCUCAAACACUACUGAGGCAUCAGGAUCUUCAAGAUUCAUUUUCUCUUGCCACCACCAUAUAAGAAGUGCCUUUCACCUCCUGCCAUGAUUCUGAGGCUUCCCCAGCCAUGUAAAACUAUGAGGAAACUGAAGCGAAAGAAUGUUGACUAAUUUUGUCAAGGUCACACAACUGCUCUCUUUGGUGACUUCCUGAAGCUUGAAGUAUCUUCCUUGGGAGACGUAUUAUAGAAUUUGAAAUCCCACUGGCCAGAUCUCAGCAUGUAGUUUCAUCCCAACUCUACAGAAGUCUGGAAAAUACAGAGAGAACAUGCUCUUUCCCUAGGAAGAAGAGAUGAGAGCUCCAUCUCUCUGCUGGUGGAAGGAGAGGUUGUCUUUCCCUUCCCAUAGGGCAAGAAGAGCUGCCUCCACAUCCUCCUUCUGCUGUAGCUGAAGAGCCUGUUUAAAGGAACAUCCUGAUGGGGCUCAGCCUUUUGACCCCCAGAAAACAUGGCUUUGUCUGCCAUCCUGCAGCUCAUCAUGGGAGCCUGCAAAGUGGUUGGGGGCAGCACACACCAGCAUGCUGUGAAGAGAGGAAAGAGCUGCCGGGAUAACAACCCCGCAGCCACCAUAAUGACUCAGAUUAGAACACAAGGGAACACCAGCCAUUUUUUAGUCUGUCAGUUUUUCUAUUAUCCUCAAGACUGAGCAUGAAACAUUCAUUAUAACACGUCCUUAUUGAUUCAACUGAUGGAAAUAUAUUGGUAUUAAUAACACGAAACUCUAAGGCACUGAGGAUAAUAAAAUGAUUGCGAACAUAA
rnacentral:lncRNA from 1 species